rnacentral:tRNA from 1 species
AGGAUUGUAGUUAACGAUAAUAUUUGGUUUGCAUCCAAAAGGUGUUGAAAUUCAACCAAUCUUA